rnacentral:rRNA from 1 species
GACGAACCGUGCAAACGUUGUUCGGAAUCACUGGGCUUAAAGGGCGCGUAGGCGGCUUAUCAAGUCGGGGGUGAAAUACUUCAGCUUAACUGGAGAAGUGCCUUCGAUACUGGUGAGCUUGAGGGAGGUAGGGGUCUGUGGAACUUCUGGUGGAGCGGUGAAAUGCGUUGAUAUCAGAAGGAACGCCGGUGGCGAAAGCGACGGACUGGACCUCUUCUGACGCUGAGGCGCGAAAGCUAGGGGAGCAAACGGG